rnacentral:misc_RNA from 1 species
GAAAUGCGAUAAGUAAUGUGAAUUGCAGAAUUCAGUGAAUCAUCGAGACUUUGAACGCACAUUGCGCCCCCUGGUAUUCCGGGGGGCAUGCCUGUCCGAGCGUCAUUGCUGCCCUCAAGCACGGCUUGUGUGUUGGGCUUCCGUCCCUGGCAACGGGGACGGGCCCAAAAGGCAGUGGCGGCACCAUGUCUGGUCCUCGAGCGUAUGGGGCUUUGUCACCCGCUCCCGUAGGUCCAGCUGGCAGCUAGCCUCGCAACCAAUCUUUUUAACCAGGUUGACCUCGGAUCAGGUAGGGAUACCCGCUGAACUUAAGC